AUGAUACGGCGGCUUCUCAAUGUGGUGGUGAAGAAUACUUCCACAGGCGUCCACUCGGUGCGGCGAAUCGACCCGUACAAGCAUCUCUUCUACGAAUCAGCAGGUGAGCCAGCAGCGUCGAUCGCAAACAAGGCCAAGGAUUGUGCUCUGGAAAUGCAGGCCCUUUCUCUGCCCGAGCCAGCGGUGAGCUUCUCUCCAUCCCCGACCACUCUGCCGCUCAUGGGCGGCAUUGAUUUGUUCGCGCCCAUGGGCGGCGGCGAAGGCAGGAUCGUAGGCGCCAACGUGGCCGGCGAAAGCAUGCUGUACGAUGCCGACGAGCGUCUCUUCCUUCAUCUGCCCUGGAUCAACGAGCCCAAGGGGUGGAACCCCGUGUGCCUCUCCAUCCCCAUACCCGGCGCCGCCGAGAACAGCCUCUACGUCAUGGAGAGGUGCCUCGGGGAGUCCAUGGAUGCAUAUGGCUCCAGUGAGGACUACACCGUUUCCUGCUUCGAGGUCCUCGAGCACGGGCCCAGGACCGGCGGCCAUGAGGUGCGCGAAAUGCAUAGAGGCUGGCGCUGGCGGGUUCUCCGGCCGCCUCCAUUCGUCCUCGAACCAGACUACCAACCCUCUGUAUCGCCUCCUACACUAGCAUGGUUAACAAGGCCAACAGGUGCUCCACCAUCUACAUGCCAUGCGAGGACAGGCGCAUUGGCACCUAUUGCUUUGACACGUCGAGGAACGUGGAGCAAUGGAGGCGCGUCGGGGAGUGGGCUCUGCCCUUUCAUGGGGAAGCCAAGUACAUAA
rnacentral:rRNA from 1 species